rnacentral:lncRNA from 1 species
GCCGCGGGGGCCGGUCGUGCUCUGCCCGGCUCGGUCUGCGAGCACAGGGGCAGGAGGUAGGUCGGUCUCCGCCCCCACCUUGACGUCCUGGACUCUGACCCUGCAGCGCUUCCCAGGCGGCUGACCUUUCCCUCGGUGCCCGUUAGCGAAGGGUCUCCUGCUUGGUGUGUUGGCCUGCCCGAGUGGCCCUGCCGCUGUUGCAAGCAGCUUGGAAAGGUGUACAGACAUAGGGGGGUCAGAUUUACGCAGUCUUGCCCAGGGACAAGUUUUCCAUGACACUGGAUUCAUCGCUCAGCUACAAUAUGGCAUUGUUAGCUCUAAUGGCUCAGCAAGAGCAGAAUGGUGGUUGAACAUACUUUUACAAGGAGCAAGGAUCUCUGGUUCAUAGGAAAUAAGACGCCUUGUGAGACAUUUGAACGCAGACCCUUAACUAGUUGCAGGGUCAGUCGUCAGAGAUGGGCAUUUGUCUAACCCUUUCCUAACGUGUGCUUAAGGCCUGGAUGAGGAGGAUGGCGCUGAGGCUGCGAACCAGGAGACCAGAACGCACCGACGGGUUUUAGACCACCCUGCGGGAGGAGGCGCUGGCCAUAGCCGCCGCAGGCAGACACGGGCCGGGUGCGGGCC